CUUCUGGCAAUGAAGCUGCAAUUUUGAGUUCACUAGAACGAACACUGCUAUCAUUGAAAGUGCUGCGUAAGUUAACUGUUAAUGGAUUUGUGGAACCUCAUAAGAAUAUGGAGGUGAUGGGUUUUUUACAUGGAAUAUUUGAACGUCUAAAACAGUUUCUGGAAUGCACUUUUGGACUUCUUGGAUCAGCAUCCUUUUUCAUUUACUCCUCUAAUUCAGAGAUCACUGGAAUUUUCUGUAAGCUAUGUUUUUACAGAAGUUGGUGAAGGCGUUACAUUUGAACGAUUCAUUGUCCAAUGUAUGAAUCUUAUUAAGAUGAUUGUCAAAAAUUAUGCUUAUAAGCCAUCCAAAAAUUUUGAAGGUAAUUCCUUUAUUGGCAGUUUAAAAGAAUUAUUUUAAUCUUAAGUGUGAUAUAAUUGCUAUAAUUACAAACUUUUUAAAAAAUGUCAUUUUAGUCU
rnacentral:lncRNA from 1 species